GAUUGGUUACAGUUUUUGUUGCUUCCAGUUUUUUCAAUGAAAUUUAUGCAUAGUUCAAUUUUAUACUUCUUGUUGUUAUGAUACUAUGUCCAAUUCCCCACUUCAAUUUUCUCUCAUUCAUCAUUGGUAUAAAUCUUAAAUUUAUUUGUUCUUCUGUUGUGACUAUGCCAAGAACAUAUGGUCCAAAAUUCUGCAGUGGCAAGGGAUACAUUGACAAGCACUAUCAUGGAAAGAGGAGUUGAGUUGAGGGCAUGAAAUAGCUACCACUAACUUUGAUGUUUGUUUAACGGAAUUAGGAUGGAGUAUUCCAUUGUCGGGAAGUGUGAGACAAUGCCAUCAACAAGAUUACUGAAUGUAAAGAUCAAAGCACUACUCUGCUUUGAACAAGAAAGAAUGAUAUGGAUUUGUCACCUCCAACUACCCUUUCUUUUUUACAACGACCUUUUGAAUUUCAAAAUCUUGCAGAGGUUUGGAAUCACUACCAUUAGAUUUUCAGUUGUUUAUAUUAUUUUGCCUUACACCCAUUUUCACUGAAACUGAAUAGACGAUAGUCAUGGAACUUCCUGUGAACGUGGACUACUUUUGGACAAUCUUUUGGAUCUACCACAUGCUCCUUAAAUUAAGGAUGGAGUGUCCCAAGCUUGAUAAAGUUCUUGACUCCUGCAUCUGGUGUGCAAAAGAUAUUGGGAUCUAUAUACAACGUUCAGUAAAAUUCUCGAUAGUCUUAUGGGUUUUUCUUGGUGCUCUCUUUUCUUCGGAGGAAAGAUAAUAUAGAGGUUCAUUAAAUUACUAUGUAUAUAAUGUGGUGAUGCUUAUGGCAAGUGACAUUAAUGGAUUUACGGUGUAAGUGCUUUUGUUUGGAGAUCUGUAGCAUUUUCCAUUGAAUUAAGCUCAUCGAUCAACUGAGAAUGCUAUAAAGCUGGAUUUACAGUGAACAUGUCAUACAAGAUAAUUUUAUGCUGGCUUUAGUUCCUUACAAUGUUCAAUUGUAGUCGCGCACUAUGGGUUCUCUAGAUCCCAAAGUGGCUAAAAUACUAACUCGAGGUCAUUCUAAGAUCAUCUACCUGGCUGCUGGCCUAAAGUGAUUGAUUUAAAACUUCUCAGCAGUACAAGCAAUGCUCCUCUUCAGUUUUAUUUGCUUCAAGCUUACUGAUGUUAAGUGGAUCUGUCAUGUUGUCAUGGCCUAUAGGUUUACUUUGAUGUAAACUUGUUGACUGUGGAAAAUUAUUUUACUUGAAACUUUACUAUUGUUUUAUUGUGUUGCUUCUAUAUUUAUCGAAACCUUACACGAUGAUUUUCAAGAUAUUGCUCCUCCACCAAUAGUAAAAAUGUAUCUACUUGUGGAUUUUGUUUCAGUUGACCCAGUAAUCC